rnacentral:lncRNA from 1 species
UCAUCCAGUGUCACCCAUUGUCCCUUCAGUGUCACCCACUGUCACCCAUUGUCCCCUUAGUGUCACCCCUUGUCACCCAUUGUCCCCUUUGUCACCCGUUGUCCCCCCGUUGUCACCCACUGUCACCCAGCGUCCCCUCAUUGUCACCCCUUGUCCCUUCAUUGUCACCUGUUGUCACCCAUUGUCACCCCACUGUCACCCCACUGUCACCCAUGGGUGUCCCCUGGGUUGGGAUUUUGGGGUUCCUCGGGGCUCUCUGUCCCCUCUUUGUCACCCGUUGUGUCCCCAAAUGUCCCCAAACGACCCCAAGUGUCCUUAAACGGCCCCAAAUGCCCCCAAAGUAGCCCCAAAUG